GAGAUAUGAUGAAUAUAUUAUUUGGUCCGUGUUUCUGAACUAACCCUGACUGAUACCCUUUCCAAACCUCUGAUCUC